GUUAGGAAGAGCCGCAGGGACAGCUCAGCUGCAGAACUUUGCACGGUGGUGACUAGUACGAGGUUGACCUUGAAUGUGGAGGAAAAAAAUCCAGCAAUAUUCUUCAUUUAUUCAACAAGCAUUUAUUGAGUAGCUAACUGCUUGCCAAGCACUGUUUAAGGAAUACAGUGGUGAGCAGAUGGACAAAACAAAAACUUCUGACCUCAUGGAACUUAAAUCCUUGUGGGGAAGACAGACACCAAGCGAUCCAAUUUCCAUCAUUGAUUGCACUAUUUGAAAAGAUCCUUUUAUACAAUGAAGAGGCAAACGUGGUGGAAUCAAAUCCUCAUUUAUGACUAGCCCCAGUAUGUAGAGAUUGGAAGACACUCUGAAUUGUAAAGGAAUUUAAAGUAUAUUGAUCAACUGCCUGGGUGCUACUAAAUAAGAUAGGAAGGAAGAAAACUAAUCUUUUUGAAGACCUACUUUAUAUGCUGGGUAACUUAUAUAAUUUUUAUUUAAUAUUAUACCAUGAAGUAUAAUUAAUACCAGUUUACAAAUGAGGAAACUGAAGCAACAGAAGCCAUCAAGAUAAACAGCUUGUCCUAAGUCAGUGAAAGAGAAGGAAUGGUGCUAUACUCUGAACCCAGGGUGUCUGACUGUGAAGCUGACUCCUAUUUCAUUGCACUACAGCAUUCCCCAAUAUAAUACAGAAAACUCAAGUGGUUAUUGCUCAUGCUAUGGAAUACAAGACUCAAGUUAAAAGUGAUCUUGGUCAGUUGUAAAGAGGAGGGCCUAACAAAAGAAUGAAAAAGGAAAGAAUGAAAAAGGAAAGAAUGAACAAUUCAAUAAGGAACUAAUAAUUCCGAAAGAAAAACAAGAGGAGAAAGGACUUCCUGGCCAAAGUGCAGAAAAGAAAGAUCUGGUAAUAUGAUCAAUACAAUUCUGAAAUGUAUGAGAGUAAUGGCAUGCACAUAAUCCUGGAGCAUGAUAUACUAGUCAUCAUGUGGAUGAGGAAAAGGAAUCAAAGAAAAGAAGCACAAAUGAUCAACGAGGUAAAAAAGAAGGACUACGAAGAAGGAUAAAAGGAACUAGGGUCAUUUAUCUAAUGCAGGAGAAGGCAAGCAGGUGACCUGCCAUCGGAGCUUCCCAAGAGUAAAGAUCAUUUCUUACCACCUUUGCUGUCUAGUGAUUAACAGUCUCUUUAACACGGUGGGCAUUUGACAAGCCUUUACUGAACGGAUAUUGUAAAAGACACAAGAAGCAUUUGUAAAGAGAACAAUAACCAUGAGUGGUCUGUGUAUAGAUGGAGAAAAAUAUUUUUGAACAUAUAAGUGUAAAAGCAGGAGUUCAAGUUUGUACAGAGAAAGGCUGAGAGAGGCUUUCCCCUGUCUAUGCACAAUGUAGUCAGUAUUCAGUAAAAGAGCAAGUAAAUGAAUUUUGGUUGUAUUCAGUCCAUGAAACUGGAAUAAAUUACAAAGGAGGUUUAUUCCGCCCUUGGGUUAAAGAAUUGUCAUCUGACACUAGAGAGGUCAGUUAUUACUGUCCUUCCCAAUCUCUAACAAGUCUAAAAAUGCUACAUAUUUUUUUCUUUAUUCUCACUGCCAUCUAUUUCUCUUCUGGAUUUUUAUGCCUGACUCCCAAGUAGAUACCUUAGCCAGUGUCUUUGACAUAGUGCAGCCGUAUGGAUCUUCCUAAAUAAUAGCUCCAAUCAAGUCACUCUUUCAUUUAAAAAAACAAAAUCAAAUCCAAGAGCUUCUAAAUGAUUAUUUCAAAAGGCCUUCCAUGAGCUAACUCCAACCCCCUUUCCUAAUAUUAUGCCACCCUCCUUUCUGAAAUACACCAAACGGAAAUGCCCAGUUUCCCCAAACCCUCAAUAUUUCCCUUCCCAAGGCCUUUGCUCCUGCUGCAUAGGAGCUUUCCCUACUCAAUUUGUGUAGGUUCAAAUCCUAUCCAUCUUCAAAGGCCACACAUUCCAACUACUGCUCCUAAUUGCUUUGCAGAAAAGUAUUCUCUCUCCUGCUGAACUCCUAGAGCACCUUGCUUGUCCCCUCUUGCACAGAACUUAACUAUUUUCAAACUCAAGUUCAGUUAUUUUGGUAAAUCUUUAUGUCAUACACUAAACAUAAAUUCCUUGAGACAAAAGUAGUCUUACUCAUCUUUGUGGCCCUCACAUGCUAAGAAAGAAGGAAGAUGUUUGAACAUGAGCUCCACUGAGGAUGCCAAGAGAUGGCCAGGAAGAAAAGAAGGGUUUUUCUUAGUAUGGUGAUGACAGAUGAGAGUCUACUGUGGUUUGAAUGUCCUCUGCAAAAUUCAUGUUGCAAAUUUAGUUGCCAUUGUAAGAGUCAGUAUUAAGAGGUGGAGUCCUUAAGAGAUGAUUAAGUCAUGAGGUCAGAGUUCUCAUGAAUGGAUUAAUGUCAUUAUUGUGGAAGUGGGUUUCUGAUAAAAGGAUGAGUUUGGUCUGAUUUCUCCUCUCUGUCUCUCUUGCUUGCUUCUGCCUUCUGUCAUGAGAUGACCCUACCAGAUACCAGCAAAAUGCUCUUGGAUUGCCCAGCCUCCAGAACCAUGAGUCAAAUAAAUUUUUAUUGUUUAUAAAUGA